GCUUCCAGGAAUAGUUCAGUCAGUAAGAGCAUGAGACUCUGAAUCUGAGGGCUGUGUGUUUGAGCCCCACGUUGGGCA